rnacentral:rRNA from 1 species
UGGGGAAUAUUGGACAAUGGGCGCAAGCCUGAUCCAGCAAUGCCGCGUGUGUGAAGAAGGCCUGCGGGUUGUAAAGCACUUUCAGUAGAGAAGAAAAGCUUAGGGUUAAUACCCCUUGAGUCUUGACGUUACCUACAGAAUAAGCACCGGCUAACUCCGUGCCAGCAGCCGCGGUAAUACGGAGGGUGCGAGCGUUGUCCGGAUUUAUUGGGUUUAAAGGGUGCGUAGGCGGUUAUUUAAGUCAGUGGUGAAAACCCUGAGCUCAACUGAGGGCUUGCCAUUGAUACUGGAUAGCUUGAUUACCGUAUAGGUAGGCGGAAUUUAUGGUGUAGCGGUGAAAUGCAUAGAUACCAUAAAGAACACCGAUAGCGAAGGCAGCUUACUGGACGGCGAAUGACGCUGAUGCACGAAAGCGUGGGUAGCGAACGGGAUUAGAUACCCCGGUAGUCC